CAGUAAGUAGUUUAUUUAAAAUAACAAUUUUGGGGAUUGUAGAUGAGUUAUUGCUUUUUACUGA
rnacentral:tRNA from 1 species